GUAGGUGGCAAGCGUUGUCCGGAAUUAUUGGGCGUAAAGCGCGCGCAGGGCGGUCCUUUAAGUCUGAUGUGAAAGCCCACGGCUCAACCGUGGAGGGUCAUUGGAAACUGGGGGACUUGAGUACAGAAGAGGAAAGCGGAAUUCCAAGUGUAGCGGUGAAAUGCGUAGAGAUUUGGAGGAACACCAGUGGCGAAGGCGGCUUUCUGGUCUGUAACUGACGCUGAGGCGCGAAAGCGUGGGGAGCAAACAGGAUUAGAUACCCUGGAAGUCCACGCCGUAAACGAUGAGUGCUAAGUGUUAGGGGGUUUCCGCCCCUUAGUGCUGCAGCUAACGCAUUAAGCACUCCGCCUGGGGAGUACGGCCGCAAGGCUG
rnacentral:rRNA from 1 species